rnacentral:rRNA from 1 species
UACGUAGGGGGCAAGCGUUGUCCGGAAUUAUUGGGCGUAAAGAGCUCGUAGGCGGUUUGUUGCGUCGGCUGUGAAAACCCGGGGCUCAACCCCGGGCCUGCAGCCGAUACGGGCAGACUAGAGUUCGGCAGGGGAGACUGGAAUUCCUGGUGUAGCGGUGAAAUGCGCAGAUAUCAGGAGGAACACCGGUGGCGAAGGCGGGUCUCUGGGCCGAUACUGACGCUGAGGAGCGAAAGCGUGGGGAGCGAACAGG